rnacentral:rRNA from 1 species
AGAGUUGGAUCCUGGCUCAGAAUGAACACUGAUGGCAUGCUUAACACAUGAAAGUCGGACGGGAAACACGGGAAAUAGUGUUUCCAGUGGCGGACGGGUGAGUAAUGCAUAAGAACUUGCCCUUGGGAGGGGAAAAAUAGUUGGAAACGGCUGCUAAAACCCCGUAGGCUGAGGAGAAAAAGGAGGAAUCCGCCCAAGGAGGGGCUUGCAUCUGAUUAGCUAGUUGGUGAGGCAAUAGAUUACCAAGUCGAUGAUCAGUAGCUUGUCCGAGAGGAUGAUUAUCCACACUGGGACCGAGACACGGCCUAGACUCCUAUAGGAGGCAGCAGUGGAGAAUUUUCUGCAAUGGGAAAAAGCCUGACGGAGCAAUGCCACGUGGAGGUAGAAGGCCCACGGUUCGUGAACUUCUUUUCCCAGAGAAGAAGCAAUGGCGGUAUUUGGGGAAUAAGCAUCGGCUAACUCUAUUCUAGAAUCUGCAGUAAUACAGAGGAUACAAGCAUUAUCUGGAAUAAUUGGGCGUAAAGCAUCUAUAGGUGGCUUAUUAAGUCCGCUGUCAAAUCCCAGGGCUCAACCCUGGACAGGCGGUGGAAACUACCAAGCUGGAGUAUGAUAGGGGAAGAGGGAAUUUCUGGUGGAGCGGUGAAAUGCAUAGAGAUCAAAAAGAACACCAAUAUAUAAAGCACUCUAUUGGGCCGACACUGACACUGAGAGACGAAAGCUAGGGGAGAAAAUAGGAUUAGAUUCCCCAGUAGUCCUAGCCUUAAAUGAUGGAUACUAGGCGCUGUGCGUAUCGACGCAUGUAGUACUGUACCUAACGCGUUAAGUAUCCCGCCUGGGGAGUACGUUCGCAAGAAUGAAACUCAAAGGAAUUGACAGAGUCCUGCAUAAGUGGUGGAGCCUGUGGUUUAAUUCAAUGCAAAGCGGAGAACCUUACCAAUGCUUGACAUUUCGCGAAUCCUCUUGAAAGAGAGGGGUGCCUUCAGGAACGCGGACAUAGGUGGUGCAUGGAUGUUGUUACCUCGUGCCGUAAGGUGUUGGGUUAAGUUGUGCAUAGAGCGCAACCCUCGUUUUUAGUUUCCAUCAUUGAGUUUGGAACCUUGAAUAGACUGUCGGUGAUAAGCCGGAGAAAGGUGAGGACGACGUCAUGUCAUCAUGCCCCUUAUGCCCUGGGUGACACACGUCCUACAAUGGCCGAGACAAAGGGUCGAGAUCCCGAGAGGGUGAUCUAACACAAAAAACCCAUCCUCAAUUUAGAUUAUAGGCUGCAACUCACCUGCAUAAAGUCAGAAUCGCUAGUAAUCACCGGUCAGCCAUACGACGGUGAAUUCAUUCCCGGGCCUUGUACACACCACCCAUCACACUAUGGGAGCUGGCCAUGCCAAAAGUCGUUACCUUAACUGCAAGGAGGGGGAUGCCGAAGGCAAGGCUAGUGACUGGAGUGAUGUGGUAAAAUGGUAUCCAUACUAGAACGUGCGGCCG